rnacentral:rRNA from 1 species
CUUUUGCUGGCGACCGGCGCACGGGUGAGUAACACGUAUCCAACCUGCCCUUUACUCGGGGAUAGCCUUUCGAAAGAAAGAUUAAUACCCGAUAGCAUAAUGAUUCCGCAUGGUUUCAUUAUUAAAGGAUUCCGGUAAAGGAUGGGGAUGCGUUCCAUUAGGCUGUUGGUGAGGUAACGGCCCACCAAGCCUUCGAUGGAUAGGGGUUCUGAGAGGAAGGUCCUCCACAUUGGAACUGAGACACGGUCCAA